UAUAAUCUCGCCCGCUGUGGUGCUUGCGUAGUAAAUACUCAAGCUUAAUAGGGAAUCUGGUGCAAAUCCGGAACUGACGCGCAGCGGUAAUGAGGAACGAAAGCUCAAGGAUUGGCCUUUUCCAAGGAUCUCCAGACACUGUUUGUAUCGCCAAACGGGAAGUCGCAGCCGUAGUACAAGUAAUACGCCUCUAAGUCCGAAUACCUGCCACAUCGCACAUGCUUAU
rnacentral:ncRNA from 2 species